rnacentral:tRNA from 2 species
GCAGCCGUAGUGUUAGUGGUUAGCACACCUGCUUCCCAAGCAGAGAGGGCGAGUUCGAAUCUCGUUGGCUGCUCCA